AAAUACUCCUUGUAUAAAGUACAAUAGCUUAGCUCAAAAUUGAACUUAAGCAGUUGCAGUACUUGAGUAAAGUACUUUCUGUCACUAAUCUAAUUAUUUUAUUUCAAAAUUGAGUGUGUGUAUGUGUGUGUGUGUGUGUGUGUGUGUGUGCAGAGCAUUACAGCCUAUGAAAAUCAUCUGAUCUGAGCCGCCCCUGUCAGUGAGUUGAGAGGGAUCACAAGGUGCUGGCAGGUUAUUGACCCUGUAAUCUCAGAGCCGCCUUGCAGCUUUGGUGUCCUCUAUUAUCUGAUACAUAUGACCUGGCACUACUAUUGCACACUCAACAACAAAUGCAGGAGAAGACCAACACCAUAGCAACAACCUCUGCACAAGUUGGCCCCAACAUUCACAAGGGCAAGACCAAAAUCCUAAAGACCGGCACAACCAGCACUGACCCAGUCACACUAGAAGGUAUAGUGCAUUGGAAGAAAUAACAUCCUUCAACUACCUCGGGAGCAUCAUCGGCGAGCAGGGCGGCACAGAUGCUGAUGUAAGAACAAGAAUCGUCAAAGCAACAACAGCAUUUAUACAGCUACACAACAUCUGCAACUCAAAAGAACCAGUCCAAGGUCAGGCUAUUUAACGCCUGUGUUAUUGUCCAGAUCAGAGACAUGGAGAACAACUGUGAUGACCACCAAGAAAGUGCAGACAUUCAUCAACACAUGUUUGAGAAAGAUUCUCCAGAUUCGAUGGCCUGACACCGUAAACAACAACAACAACAAGCUU